rnacentral:rRNA from 1 species
GUGGUAGUCCCGCAACGAGCGCAACCCCUAUUCUCUGUUGCCCGCAAGGGGGAUCUCUGAGGAAACUGCCGGCGAUGAGCCGGAGGAAGGUGGGGAUGACGUCAAGUCAUCAUGGCCCUUACGUCCAGGGCGACACACGUGCUACAAUGGCAGCUACAGAGGGCAGCAAGACCGCGAGGUGGAGCCAAUCCCUAAAAGCUGUCUCAGUUGGGAUCGGAGUCUGCAACUCGACUCCGUGAACGCGGAAUCGCUAGUAAUCGUGGAUCAGCCAUGCCACGGUGAAUACGUUCCCGGGCCUU